rnacentral:rRNA from 1 species
UACGUAGGGUCCGAGCGUUGUCCGGAAUUAUUGGGCGUAAAGGGCUCGUAGGCGGUUCGUCACGUCGGGAGUGAAAACUCGGAGCUUAACUCCGAGCCUGCUUCCGAUACGGGCAGACUAGAGGUAGGCAGGGGAGAGCGGAACUCCUGGUGUAGCGGUGGAAUGCGCAGAUAUCAGGAGGAACACCAAUGGCGAAGGCAGAUCUCUGGGCCGUAACUGACGCUGAGGAGCGAAAGCGUGGGGAGCGAACAGG